GACUCUGGUGCUCUAUGAUAACCUGCUUUCUGGAGUCUCCAUGUUUUCCCUCAGAAAAGAAGUCAUGACACAGCAGGGAGCCUGUAUUUCUCAGCCUUCCAGAGGCAGGAAAGGUCAAGGGGCAAAGCCAUCAGUUCACUGUGGCCCAAGCCUGGCUGCUGCCACACACGAGCACACAGAUUUAUAGAAGACUUUGUGUGGAGAGCCAAGCAUGCUAAGAACAUCUUGGCAGGAAUCGCCAAAAUAUACUGAACGUUCAAACACCCGCAUCUUGGCAUCUGCUAACAGGCCGGGGCCACAACCUGCGGAGAAGAAGGGAUGGACUGUCAGGACUGGGGACCCCGGAGCCCCAGGCACUGGGACUGCAGAGGAUACUUGGCUUGUAACCUGCCCAGGGUGUGAACUGGCUUGGAAACAAGAAUGGAAAAUGGAGCCAGGACUUGAACCCAGGGACUCUGACACAAGCAUCCCAGACAGUGGCUGACCUGGCUCACCAAGCCCGUCCCUCAAGAACUAUCUGUGAAGGGUAGUUGUGUUAUUAGGUUAGUGGUCCCCUAAUCUAUGAUGUUACACUGAAGCUUAUCCUGUGCCCUUUCACACUGGUGACAGGAGGUUCUCAUGGCAUCCCUCGAUUUUCCCCUGUGCUAUUUCACUCUGCAGCUUCUUGUGACAGGCUGCUGAGAAUGGGGAAGUACUCGAUUCUUUUUUCAGAAAGGCUACCCAACCUAACCAAAACAAUGGCUCUACUACACUACUGCCUGGAGUCCAACAGUCAGCCUUGUGACUCUGAGGCAUGAGCUUGGCAUCACAUGACCUUCCUGGGAUGCCAGGGCCCAUGUAACUAUA